rnacentral:rRNA from 1 species
GGAUACGGUUAACGGAGCGAAAGCGACGUUCAACCUCAAAAGAAGCAGAGGGGGCUUAGUGGUGGGGUGACUGCGUACCUUUUGUAUAAUGGGUCAGCGACUUAUAUUCUGUAGCAAGGUUAACCGAAUAGGGGAGCCGGAGGGAAACCGAGUCUUAAUUGGGCGUUAAGUUGCAGGGUAUAGACCCGAAACCCGGUGAUCUAGCCAUGGGCAGGUUGAAGGUUGGGUAACACUAACUGGAGGACCGAACCGACUAAUGUUGAAAAAUUAGCGGAUGACCUGUGGCUGGGGGUGAAAGGCCAAUCAAACCGGGAGAUAGCUGGUUCUCCCCGAAAGCUAUUUAGGUAGCGCCUCGUGAAUUCAUCUCCGGGGGUAGAGCACUGUUUCGGCUAGGGGGCCAUCCCGGCUUACCAACCCGAUGCAAACUGCGAAUACCGGAGAAUGUUAUCACGGGAGACACACGGCGGGUGCUAACGUCCGUCGUGAAGAGGGAAACAACCCAGACCGCCAGCUAAGGUCCCAAAGUCAUGGUUAAGUGGGAAACGAUGUGGGAAGGCCCAGACAGCCAGGAUGUUGGCUUAGAAGCAGCCAUCAUUUAAAGAAAGCGUAAUAGCUCACUGGUCGAGUCGGCCUGCGCGGAAGAUGUAACGGGGCUAAACCAU